GAAGAUAUAGCUCAGUGGUAGAGUACGCGUUUACAUGAAUGAGGUCUUGGGUUCAAUCCCCAGGAACUUUA
rnacentral:tRNA from 1 species